AUUGAACGCUGGCGGCAUGCUUUACACAUGCAAGUCGAACGGUAACAGGUUAAGCUGACGAGUGGCGAACGGGUGAGUAAUGCAUCGGAACGUGCCCGAUCGUGGGGGAUAACGCAGCGAAAGCUGCGCUAAUACCGCAUACGAUCUGAGGAUGAAAGCGGGGGACCGUAAGGCCUCGCGCGAUCGGAGCGGCCGAUGUCAGAUUAGGUAGUUGGUGGGGUAAAGGCCCACCAAGCCGACGAUCUGUAGCUGGUCUGAGAGGGCGACCAGCCACACUGGGACUGAGACACGGCCCAGACUCCUACGGGAGGCAGCAGUGGGGAAUUUUGGACAAUGGGCGAAAGCCUGAUCCAGCAAUGCCGCGUGCAGGAAGAAGGCCUUCGGGUUGUAAACUGCUUUUGUACGGAGCGAAAAGGUCCUUUCUAAUACAAGGGGCUCAUGACGGUACCGUAAGAGUAAGCACCGGCUAACUACGUGCCAGCAGCCGCAGUAACAC
rnacentral:rRNA from 1 species